AACGAACGCUGGCGGCAGGCCUAACACAUGCAAGUCGAGCGGCAGCGGGAAAGUAGCUUGCUACUUUUGCCGGCGAGCGGCGGACGGGUGAGUAAUGCCUGGGGAUCUGCCCAGUCGAGGGGGAUAACAGUUGGAAACGACUGCUAAUACCGCAUACGCCCUACGGGGGAAAGCAGGGGACCUUCGGGCCUUGCGCGAUUGGAUGAACCCAGGUGGGAUUAGCUAGUUGGUGAGGUAAUGGCUCACCAAGGCGACGAUCCCUAGCUGGUCUGGGAGGAUGGUCAGCCACCAGGGAACUGAGACACGGUCCAGACGCCUACGGGAGGCAGCAGUGGGGAAUAUUGCACCAUGGGGGAAACCCUGAUGCAGCCAUGCCGCGUGUGUGAAGAAGGCCUUCGGGUUGUAAAGCACUUUCAGCGAGGAGGAAAGGUUGGUAGCUAAUAACUGCCAGCUGUGACGUUACUCGCAGAAGAAGCACCGGCUAACUCCGUGCCAGCCGCCGCGGUAA
rnacentral:rRNA from 1 species